rnacentral:lncRNA from 1 species
GUUUCCAAAGAUGUACGAUAUUUUUGAAACAUUGUAUUUGUUUAAAACUAUGGCACUUCAAUCUAGAUAGAGUCUAUAAAUAGAUUCUGGAUCCGAUUAUUUGAAAAGUAAUAAAAACUCUCAAUCUCUUUUUGUGUUCUGUAUCUUUCUAUUUCUUUUUGAGAUAAAGAUUGUCUUUAAUAUUUCUUCUACUCUUUUUUCUAUUUGGUCAUCCGAAGAAAAUCUCUUGGGUCAGCCUCCCCAAUGAUUGUAUUCAUUAGAGGAGGAUUGAACUGAACC